GGGAAAAAGACAGAAUCAGUUCUAGUGAAGCAAUUACGCUGCUGGUAAAACCCUACCUACAGUACCUCCACAGAUGCACCUUGUCAAACUGCCUUCCUACACCUACAUGGCACUGCAGCACAGAGGGGCUCCAGGGAGUGCAGGCACAGCACCUGUGCAAGGUGUGCCCUCAGCCACUCAGCUUUGCUGGAACAACCUUGUAGGGUACCUCUGCAGUUGCAUUCCCUGCCCAGACCCCUCCAUCACUUGACAAAGUUUCUAUUUGACACUUUUUGCUGUGUUUCCAAAUGUUUACUACAGUAAUUCAGGGUUACCAAGCAACAGAUCAGUUUACUUAACAACAUGGAAUUAUCUGCUGCAAAAGGACAAGUAAUCCACCAGUAGCUGCCAGGCUGAAUUUCAGCUCAGCAGGGAGGUUGUCCAACACUUUAUUAUCAAUCAGAGCCGAAUUGCAAGCUGAUCUCUGAACUAAAAACUCCUACAGUCAGA
rnacentral:lncRNA from 1 species